AGAGAUAAAAUGUUUUUUUUUCCAAAGAAAACCUUUAGCAGCAAUGAUUUUGCAACACAUCUUUUCCUUUGCAGUACCCACUAAUUCAUUUGCACCGCCCCUUUAAUUCUGCGUUUCAGCCACCUGUGCUUUUGUGACUCGGUUUUUCCUUUGCGCUUGGCUUUGUGACCCUGGUUUGACGUGGGGGCGGAGUCAAUGGAUUGGGGCGUGUAUAACGGGUCUGGGCAUGCCUUCCUCGUUACGUCAUCAGUGUGAGUCACAGUAGACAACAGUGCAACGAAUCGAUCGUCAUGGCAGAGGAGGCAGAUCUCAAGUAUGUCUAGGUGAUUGUUUUUACAAUUAAACCUGUGUUUUGUUUCUGUUUGUUAACUAAAAUGUAUAUUAACACGUUUGCUCAAGUUAAAGAACUUUUUUAAGCAGUAUGAAUGGCUGCUACAUGUAUUCUACAGGCCAACAGACAACGCAAGUGGUAAUCAAUCUGCCAAAAACGAAAUGAUGCCUCUGUUCAGACACAAGACACUUUACAUAGCUUAGAUAUUACAGUGUUGUGCUCUGGAAGAAAUGCAAUGAAACAUCCAAGGCUCAAC